AUUACGGUACACAUCAAAAUUUAUGAACAUUCACUAUCUAAAAAAAAUUAACGUAAUCCAUUGUUCAUUGCCUGAAUUUGAAAUCGACUAUUCAAUGUCCCUCUAACGUAAUCCACUAUUUAAUGUCGCGUAAGAAUUCAAAAACCACUAUUUACGAAAACCACUAUCCACUAUUCACUGUCUAAAUUUGAAAUCCACUAUACACUAUACGCGUUGUCAACCCCAUCCCUCUAACGUAAUCCACUAUUUAAUAUCAAAAACCACUAUUUACUAAAACCACUAUUUACCGUAAGCGCAUCGACACCCCCUCCUCUAUUCCUCGCGCCUGCAGCAGGUAUAUUUUGUCUGAAAGUCACUACAAGUUCAUCAAAAACCAUUACAAAAAUAUAGAAAUCCACUACAUAAGAUCCCUUUACAAAGAGAAAACCCACAAAAAACUUGCCUAAAUUCAGAAAACAAAAAUCCCCUUUAAUAAACAAUGUCAUUGCAGACAAUAGUAGAGUCACCCGAGCAUCACCCAACCUCGUCCUACUUGUUACCAUUACUCCGUUUGUGCAAAAACCUGAACCAGAGCAAAAGAAGACAACAACGUGUAAAUUUAAUUCAUUCAAAACAAAAUCAGUUUACAAAUCAAGAAUUUCAAAUUUUCUACAAUCUCAUUCAAACCCAUUACAUAAAAUUAGAAAGAGAAAUAAACAUAUAAAACUUACUAAACAUAGACUAAACAUUCUCCCCCACGAACAGAACAUGAGUUUCCAUUCGAAUGGAAGGAAAUACGAUAUUAAAUUAAAUUAUUAUUAAAAACUGUGCAUUCCCAUUUAUUGAAAAAAAAUAUUCAAUUAAAAUUGAAAGCCUCCGAAAUAUCAAGUAAAAAAAUUGAAAAAGAAAUAAUAAAAAUUCUCCAUACUUUUCUAAUUACCCGUACAUCUCGUCGAUCCCGUCGCAAAAAAAAAAAAAAAAAAACACAGGACACGUAAUAAUCAAAAUUCUCCAUACUUUUCAAAUUACCCGUACAUCUCAUCGCUCCCAUCACAAAGAAAAGCACCGGCUCUUUCUGUGUUGUCUGGGAAGACGGAGAUCUCCGCCCUAGAGGAUGAACGAACCGCGGCGGCUGAUAUGGUGGAUGACAAGAAGGCAGGCGCAGACCGUCCAUUAAGGCGGUGAUGAUGACGAUGCGGUUGAGAUCUCACGUCGGCGAAGAUGACCGAGAUUUGGAGGAAGAUAUCUCUGCUAUUGUGGAGGAAGAGAGGGGCCCCUGUUGAAAGAAAAAAGAAUCGAGAAAAAACGUGUGGUAGAAUUAGGGUAGAUUUAAUUGAUUUAUUAUCAUUUAAUAUUAAAUUAUAUGUUUUGUUAAAUAAAAAAUU
rnacentral:lncRNA from 1 species